rnacentral:rRNA from 1 species
GACGAACGCUGGCGGCGUGCUUAACACAUGCAAGUCGAACGGUGAAAGGGAGCUUGCUCCCUGGAUCAGUGGCGAACGGGUGAGUAACACGUGGGCAACCUGCCCCUGACUCUGGGAUAACGCUUCGAAAGAGGUGCUAAUACCGGAUACGAACUCCCUUGGCAUCUUGGGAGUUGGAAAGUUUUUCGGUCAGGGAUGGGCCCGCGGCCUAUCAGCUUGUUGGUGAGGUAACGGCUCACCAAGGCGACGACGGGUAGCCGGCCUGAGAGGGCGCCCGGCCACAUGGGGACAGAGACACGGCCCAGACUCCUACGGGGGGCAGCGGUGGGGAAUAUGGCGCAAGGGGCGAAAGCCUGACGCAGCAACGCGGCGUGAGGGAUGACGGCCUUGGGGUUGUAAACCUUUUUCAGCAGGAAAGAAGCGAAAGUGACGUUACCGGAAUAAGAAGCACCGGCUAAUUACGUGCCAGCCGCCGCGGUAA